GCAGCCCGCGCCUUCGGGGCGCCCCAGCUCACGCGCGGCCCACAGGCGUCCGCGCUACAAGCCCUCCCUCCCCGCCCAGAGCAUAGAGGCCUGACGGACAACUUGGGGGUUCCCCUAAGAUGCCUCCUGCCCGGGGCCCAUUUGAUCCGUCUCCUGACUCAGCAACUGUUCCACCACCCGAGGCCAAGUGGCUGUUCUUAAGCUUGAAGACCAGAGACAAGUGGGCAUGAUUCCCCAAAUGGGCAGCAGGUUAAAAUCAGAAUGAGUUCAGCCACAAGAAACAUUGGUAGAGAGAGAAGAGUUUUAGAAAAGUUCUGGGACUUGAGGAAAAGAGAUGACAGAGAAAGACCUCCAUAGAGAAUGAGAGCAUCAGUCAACCACAAAGCACAAGGCACAGAGGCUGUCCUCAAAAGAACGAUGGAGUCCAUGAAGGGAAUCCCUGUGGCUUCGAAAGGGUGACAUCUGACACUGCACACACACGGAGGAAGGGACAUGUGAGCACGCAGCAAGAAGACCAUUUGCAAGCCAGGAAGAGGGCUCUCACAAGAUCCCAAUCAUGCUGGCGCUCUGAUCUCUUCCAACCUCUCGAACUGUGAGAAAAUAAAUCUCUAUUGUAUCGCCACCCAGUCUAUGGUGUUAUGGUAGUGAAAACAGAUGAAGACAUGUGCUCCCAUGUAUUUGGGCUACUUUAAGAAGGACAUUUAUUAGACUGUGAAGUUUGAAGCCAGUAAUGGGUGAGAUG